rnacentral:rRNA from 1 species
GAUGAACGCUAGCGGCAGGCUUAAUACAUGCAAGUCGAGGGGCAUCAAGGUACACGAAAGUGUAUUGUUGGCGACCGGCGGACGGGUGAGUAAUAGGUAGGUAACCUACCUCAUACUGAGGCAUAGCUGGGAGAAAUUCCAGGUAAUUCCUCAUGAGGUUAUAUGACACAUGUGAUAUAAUCAAAGGUAUCGCAAGGUACUGGUAUGAGAUGGGCUUACUGACCAUUAGCUAGUUGGUGAGAUAAGAGCUCACCAAGGCGAAGAUGGUUAGGGGUUUUGAGAGAGAGAUCCCCCACAUUGGAACUGAGAUACGGUCCAGACUCCUACGGGAGGCAGCAGUAGGGAAUAGUUGGGCAAUGGGCGGAAGCCUGACCCAGCCAUGCCGCGUGAAGGAAGACGGCCUUAUGGGUUGUAAACUUCUUUACUAUGCGACUAACUAGAUUUACGAAAUAAUUCUAUAGAAUGUAGCAUAGCAAAAGCACCGGCUAA